UGCCCGCCCCCUUUGUGACCUCAUACAAAGGCUUGGCUACUACUGCAAAGUUUGGGAUGCACAGUCUACAAAACUGCACAGCCCCUAAGAAUUCCCUCACCUGCCCCCUUUGUGACCUCAUACAAAGGCUUGGCUAAUACUGCAAAGUUUGGGAUGCAGAGUCUACAAAACCCCACAGCCCCUAAGAAUUCCCUCACCUGCCUUCUGCCCUUAGGCUCCGGUAGACUGCAAAUGACCUGCUUUCUUUCUGUUCCCGGGCUGCGUUUGGACCCCUGUCGGACAGUAAAUCCCAAGCUGUAGAUGAAGGGGUUCAGCAUGGAGGUGAUCACCGUGUACAUCACUGAGGCCACUGCAGCCUUUCUCGGGGAAGAUGACACAUCUGAACUGAGGUACCCUCCAAAGCCUGUUCCGUAAAAUCAGCAAACAACUGACAGGAUAACUUCAGGAAGUGGGUAUUAAUUCUCACGGUAUAAGUGAAGACAUUAAGCACCAGAGUUUAAGUAGCUUGAUCCACUGAAAGAGAUUCAACUGUGUGGAACCUAUGCCGUGGAGAAUUGCUUUCUGCCAUUGUUAUCGUCCAGCAGUUGCCGAAUAGCUCUGACCUGAGCAAAGCAGUGAAACGCGGUGCUGUUGAGUGGGUUGCCACUGCACCUUUUUCAACUACUCUAGUCUUGUGGAGAAAAUACCCCUUCUAAAUUUUUUCUUCAUUGAAUACUCUCCCUCAGCUCCAGAGUACCAUAUAGAGUUUUCUUGUAUUUUAGAGUUACUGUUUUAUCAAAGUUUACCAGUCUUUUGUAUUACAUUUCUCCUGUCUAAAUCGACUGUGUGGUUUCUACUCAUUAUGGAUAUAGAUUGAUACAAACUCAAUAAAUAUUUUUGAAUGAAU
rnacentral:lncRNA from 1 species